UUUCACUCUAAUCAGACUUGCCAGCAGAAUGACUUGGGCCAGAGCACAGCCCUGUAAUUUAAUGAGUAAAGUGCAUUUAGCAGGUAAUAGAUGCCUCAAAAAUUCACUUUAGCUACAUUUAGCUUUGGUCACAGCAAAUAAUUAAGAGCCCUUGGCUACUCUUCCUUCUCAAAUAAAUACAAUGUGAAUCUAGAAGAUGGUAAAUUAAGUUUCAAAACCUGCUGGUCGGCCUCAUAUCUUCUAUCAGCCAAGUGGUCGCCAGAGUAAAUAACACUCAUUUCUCUCCGUGUCAAGACUUGAGGGAUCCAGACAUCCAGAGUGGCAUUGCUGUGACAGAAGGACCAAAAAGGUCUAAAGGACCAUUACAGAUGCAAGAACUUGAAGAGCAUCCUGGAAUUCAUCUGCUUCAUUUCCAAAGAAACAUUCUUUGUUCAUAGUACUAUCUUAUGUGUGCACGCCAUAAGAAACAAAUCUGCCAAGCCCUGGAGCAGGACCUGUGCUGCCUUAUGCCUGAAUUCAAGAUAACCUGAACUUCAGUUUCCCUACCUUCACCAGAGCAGAACAAGCUAGCUGGGCAGAUGUCCAGGUCACCGGCAAGCAUGCAGUCUGCUCUUUGGAAACUUUUGGAGUCUCACCACUGUCAUCACCUCUGCUGCUACACGUUGAUAAUCUGUUAAUGUCUUGAGAGGCAUGGUGAGAAGCUCCAAAGGCAAGUUACAGCUGCACUGGUCAAGUCACUCCAUCCCCUGCUCCAAUCCUGGGGAACCGGGAGUUGCCAAGUGACAGAAGCAGAUUUGCAGCCCAUCUCUACUAUGAUGCUGAACUGUCAUGAAUGACUUCUGUACAUCAAGUGUGGAAAAUAAAGACCACCCAGAUGAGAAAAGCUAAGUCUGUUUAUUCAGCGCAUACUAUAGCAACAGAGCCAUCAUCACUUGCAUUUUGGCAGAGAAUCAAAGAAGGCAAAGAAGUGGGAAAGUUUUAUAGCAGAAAAGAGGAAAGCCUUCAGGCUAUCUCGGUUCAGUCAACGGCUCUGCAGAGAAUCCCAAAGUCAAGGCUCACUGAUGGCUCUUCAGAAUACAGAGGGUAAAGCUCAAGAAAUUAUAUUCUGAUGCCAAGCAUUUGGAUCAAGUUUGGCUGGUCAAAGAAGAAGAAACAAGAGAAUAGCAAAAUCAAACAGAAAAUCACUAGUCCUGAA
rnacentral:lncRNA from 10 species